UACGAAGGGGGCUAGCGUUGUUCGGAAUUACUGGGCGUAAAGCGCGCGUAGGCGGACCUGCAAGUCGGGGGUGAAAGCCCGAGGCUCAACCUCGGAACUGCCUUCGAUACUGCGGGUCUCGAGUCCGGGAGAGGUGAGUGGAAUUCCUAGUGUAGAGGUGAAAUUCGUAGAUAUUAGGAAGAACACCAGUGGCGAAGGCGGCUCACUGGCCCGGUGCUGACGCGUGAGGCG
rnacentral:rRNA from 1 species